rnacentral:rRNA from 1 species
UACGGAGGGUGCGAGCGUUGUUCGGAAUCACUGGGCGUAAAGGGCGUGUAGGCGGUCCGCUAAGUCUGAUGUGAAAGCCCGGGGCUCACCCCCGGAAGUGCAUUGGAAACUGGCGGACUCGAGUCCCGGAGAGGAGAGUGGAAUUCCUGGUGUAGCGGUGAAAUGCGUAGAUAUCAGGAGGAACACCGGUGGCGAAGGCGGCUCUCUGGACGGUGACUGACGCUGAGACGCGAAAGCAUGGGGAGCGAACAGG